rnacentral:rRNA from 1 species
GACGAACGCUGGCGGCGUGCUUAACACAUGCAAGUCGAACGGAAAGGCCCUGCUUUUGUGGGGUUCUCGAGUGGCGAACGGGUGAGUAACACGUGAGUAACCUGCCCUUGACUUUGGGAUAACUUCAGGAAACUGGGGCUAAUACCGGAUAGGAGCUCCUGCUGCAUGGUGGGGGUUGGAAAGUUUCGGCGGUUGGGGAUGGACUCGCGGCUUAUCAGCUUGUUGGUGGGGUAGUGGCUUACCAAGGCUUUGACGGGUAGCCGGCCUGAGAGGGUGACCGGCGACAUUGGGACUGAGAUACGGCCCAGACUCCUACGGGAGGCAGCAGUGGGGAAUAUUGCACAAUGGGCGGAAGCCUGAUGCAGCAACGCCGCGUGCGGGAUGACGGCCUUCGGGUUGUAAACCGCUUUCGCCUGUGACGAAGCGUGAGUGACGGUAAUGGGUAAAGAAGCACCGGCUAACUACGUG